rnacentral:rRNA from 1 species
GGACGGGUGAGUAACACGUGGGUAACCUGCCUGUAAGACUGGGAUAACUCCGGGAAACCGGGGCUAAUACCGGAUGCUUGUUUGAACCGCAUGGUUCAAACAUAAAAGGUGGCUUCGGCUACCACUUACAGAUGGACCCGCGGCGCAUUAGCUAGUUGGUGAGGUAAUGGCUCACCAAGGCAACGAUGCGUAGCCGACCUGAGAGGGUGAUCGGCCACACUGGGACUGAGACACGGCCCAGACUCCUACGGGAGGCAGCAGUAGGGAAUCUUCCGCAAUGGACGAAAGUCUGACGGAGCAACGCCGCGUGAGUGAUGAAGGUUUUCGGAUCGUAAAGCUCUGUUGUUAGGGAAGAACAAGUACCGUUCGAAUAGGGCGGUACCUUGACGGUACCUAACCAGAAAGCCACGGCUAACUACGUGCCAGCAGCCGCGGUAAUACGUAGGUGGCAAGCGUUGUCCGGAAUUAUUGGGCGUAAAGGGCUCGCAGGCGGUUCCUUAAGUCUGAUGUGAAAGCCCCCGGCUCAACCGGGGAGGGUCAUUGGAAACUGGGGAACUUGAGUGCAGAAGAGGAGAGUGGAAUUCCACGUGUAGCGGUGAAAUGCGUAGAGAUGUGGAGGAACACCAGUGGCGAAGGCGACUCUCUGGUCUGUAACUGACGCUGAGGAGCGAAAGCGUGGGGAGCGAACAGGAUUAGAUACCCUGGUAGUCCACGCCGUAAACGAUGAGUGCUAAGUGUUAGGGGGUUUCCGCCCCUUAGUGCUGCAGCUAACGCAUUAAGCACUCCGCCUGGCGAGUACGGUCGCAGGACUGAAACUCAAAGGAAUUGACGGGGGCCCGCACAACCGGUGGAGCAUGUGGUUUAAUUCAAAGCAACGCCAAGAACCUUACCAGGUCUUGGCAUCCUCUGACAAUCCUAGAGAUAGGACGUCCGCUUCGGGGGCAGAACGACAGUUGUUGCAGGUUGUCUU